GUGAAACCAGAGGCUCUACUGGUUCCUCAGUGCCGGAAGACAAAUGCUUAGGUUUAAAAUGUCUGUUUCCCUCUUUGAGGGAAAGGAAAAUCUUGAAAAAAAAAAAAAAAAGAUUGAGUGCUUCACCUGUUGGCAAAGCACAGAAUGAAAUAAAGUGUCAGAGACAGGCCAUUGUCUCACCUCUGGCAUUCAGCCAUUUGCUUAGCAGAGACUCAGAAAUGGACCGCAGGAAACCAUUUUGUACAUUCCCUUGAUCCAGAGAGAAUUGGUUAUGCUAUGUCACUCUAGGAUGUAAGGAAUGAGUAUAGUUACAACAACAAAAACAACAAAAACCCUCUGGUUCAAAACUGUGGCAAGAAAUUCUUGAGAAAGGAGAAGGUGACAGAGUUUGGAUGCAGAUUAGAAUUCAGUUGCUGUGUUAGUGCAGCAAAAGAAUUCCCUACCUGAGAGCAUUGUAAAGUCUGAGAAAAACAUCACCAUUAUCCAGAAAGGUCACCAAAAGAAACCAAUUAGAACUCUGGAAGGAAUAAAUCUUUAAUAAUGCCCUCCCUGGAAAGGUCA
rnacentral:lncRNA from 1 species